GGCGAUUCAAGUAGCGUUGGAAAGCUUGUUCCGAGACCUUUCUUUUGAUACCAAUUUUGCAGCAAAUGGAGGUCGGAUGAGUGAGAUAUGGAGGAGAGAAGUUUCGGGUUUUUCAAGCUUUUUCGUCAGAUCUAGGACGAUCCGACCGUUGGAUCGAUGAUCCGAGACCACCUAUGGACUGAGGAAGAGGAGAGGAGCAUGGUGGUAUGAUCAGAUUUGACAAAUGUAGCCGGCGACCGGCAGUCGGCCACCGUGCGCGGUGGUUCCGGCGGUGGCUCCGGUGGGCUAUGGAGAUGAUUCAACUUCCAGAGGCUUCCUCAUAAAUUUUUGGAAUUUUUAAGACACAGAUAAACUUCGGGUAAGACUAUUUUUAUUAUUUCUCUGUCUGUGGAGCAUAAAUACAGUGUUUCUUAAACAGGAAAAAUUGGAGAAAAAUUCUAAGAAAAAUAUAUGAUGAAAGUAAAAUUAUUUGGAGAUAUUCUAUGGUGUUAGUUAAAUUUUUCAAUGAUUGUAGAAUAUUUUUGAGAAAUAUAGAUGGAAUUUAGUUAGAUUUUUAGCAUAUGGGCAUAUAAGAUUAUUUGAAAUUAAGAUAUUUAAAUUUUAUAUAAUUGGUUGAAGCUUGAGGAUGGAGGUUUAAAUAUGUGAAUAUUGAAUUGGGUUGAAUUAAGAAUAUGUUAGCUGUUGAAAACUUAUGGAAUCGAGUAAAAUUCUUGAAUAAAAUAUUCAUGGGUGAUUAGAAAAUUACAAUUCAUUUUGUAAUAGCCUUAUAAUAUUAUUAAGGACCACGGGACAAAAUUUUAGAAUUUUUAGAGCAUGUUUGAGUGGAUUUUUACAAAAUGUCAAUUAUAGAGACUAAAACGUAAUUUUUAAGGUUUUGAGUAUUGCUUGGUUUGGAGGGCCCAGGAGGGGCCAUAUAAUGAUGAUGAGAUAUGAGUUGAAUUUAGAAGUGUUAAUUGAGCCUUCUUGCAGGUUGGGUAGGUUCCAGGUAUAGGGGAAAUUCUGCCGAAUUUCCGGCAUAAAUUAGGCUGUCUGUUGCCUCUUUAGAGUUUUAUUUUGACUUAGUACUAAUAAAUUUAUAAUUUAAUUAUUAGGUGAUCGAUGUCAGCUAUUUUCCUGCAUCCAGCAGCCACAAUAAUCAUCGGUGUACUGCCACAGGAGGAGUUAUUUUACAGAGCAACCUGUUUUCUUCCUCACAGGUUUAACGUCGAUUAUUUAAUUAUUUUACUAUCUUUUCUAAAUUUAAAAUCUAGAACUCCGUAUUUGUUAGUAAUAGUGUGGACCUUGUUAGAAAUUGUGUUAAUUUAAAUUUUUGAGAUUAAUAAAUGAAGAUUUGUAUGGUA